UACAGAGGGUGCGAGCGUUAAUCGGAAUUACUGGGCGUAAAGCGUGCGUAGACGGUUAUUUAAGUCGGGUGUGAAAGCCCCGGGCUCAACCUGGGAAUUGCAUUCGAGACUGAAUAGCUAGGGUACGGUAGAGGGAAGUGGAAUUUCCGGUGUAGCGGUGAAAUGCGUAGAUAUCUGGAGGAACACCGGUGGCGAAGGCGGCAUCCUGGACCAACACUGACGCUGAGGAGCGAAAGCCAGGGGGAGCAAACGGG
rnacentral:rRNA from 1 species